GAGACGGAGCGGAGAGACAGCUGGUGACUUCGCCGCUUUCUUGGCCCCUAGCGCACAGUGCUCUACUCCCGCAACUUGCAAGAACACAGGUUCGUGUGAGCUCACCUUUGCGGUCCACGGCACCUGGCUCCGAGGCAGAAGAGCAGGUCUGAGUAAGCUGUCCAGGUCGCGGAGGCCAGGAGCCCGGCGAGAGCCAGCAGCUGGGGGAUAUAAACCUCCCCACCACGGCCCCCGAGGCCACUCCUGCUGACCGGUCCCGCCUCCGACAACACGUCCAGCUCUGGACUCACUCGGACGUGAGCUCACCCACGGGGGAGUGCGACCCUCCCGGGAUCCAGUCACCUUCCGAACAUGUGAGGCUCGGGGCCACUUUACAGCUCAACCCUGACAUGCAGGGAGACGGGAAAGAGAGCAGAGUGAUGGCAUCUGUCCGGGGAGCUGGCACAGGGGGCACUCCCGUCCAGCGCUCUUCUCCUCCUGUCUCCUCUGUCCCAGAUCACCUCCCCAGCCCCACAGUAUCUACCUCCACGGUGCCCAUCCUGCCGAGGCCGCAGCACUGAGUGAAGUAAAUCAGACCCAGAAGAUCAACUGUUGUAUGGUUUCUCUCAAUGAAAAACUCAAAGUAUAAAUAAUCUAAACCCAAACUGCACAGAUUUUAGAAGAGCAAGAUGAAAGAGAGGAUAGGGAAUAAUUUCUCUUUAUAAAGGGUUUCUCGGGCCCAUUACUUCAGCAGCAAAUCAGUACAGUGUCUGUUUCCCUAGUGUGCGGACGUGGGAAGCCCGACUCGGCGGUGCCCAUGGUGCUGUGUCCCCUCUGGCCCGUGCAGCCUCUGGGCUGUGGCCACGGCUCCACCGCUGACCCUUCCCGACCCAGACUAACGCAUUCCGGGGGCCGAGGGUGGUGUCUCUGGGGCUACGCUCAACCGCCACCGCCAUGACGUCGAAGUGAUGGCCGGAGGUCCGGGCUCCCGCGCUUUCGCGACUCCCGCAGGAGAGGCCAGGGCGGACAGCAGAGCGGGGUGCGAGGGAGCAGGAGGUGAGCGGUUCCCGCCGCCGCGGCCGGGCCUGUGCGGGCUGCUCACGGCCGCUUCUCCUAAGCACUGCCCACGCCGUGGGCUCGGGAAACAGAGCAGCGAGAGCACCAGCGCCCGCGGAAAGGCAGCGAGUUCCUCUGUCCGCGCGGCCCACAGCCUGCACGGCGUUGCUGGGCAAAGGAUACAGCAGGGUCUUCAGCGGCCCGGCAGUUCGGCUCCGUGCUGUGAUUUUGCAGAGGCUCCGGGACUUCCCGUUUCUGGGCAGGAAUCAGAAAACAAGCUUGCUGGCGUCCGUUUAGAGGCGCCCGGUGUUUCCGCAGUUCAUCUGGUUUUGUGCGGUUCUACCAGUUCUACAGCCAACAGCAGGCUGAGUCCCGUGAGAACCGCCGUGGACAGGGCCACAGGGUCGUAGUCCGGACUGGAGGGGCCCGGCGCGCGUUUCCGUGGACCAGCCGCCCUGGGGAGGUCACCUUGCGGCUCGGGCUGUCCUUCUAAGUAAGUCAACGACGCCAUCAAAUACGGAGAGACUCAGAUGCACUCACGUACACUCGUGUCUCCUACAUUAGAGCUCGUUACUCUUCAAGUGCACGGGCUUUCGGACGUAUAAUUUAGCCUGGCAUCAGUCAAGCUUAGAGAGGUACUUCAUGUGAUGAAAGAAUAACC
ensembl:lincRNA